rnacentral:rRNA from 1 species
AGGGUUCGAUUCUGGCUCAGGACGAACGCUGGCGGCAUGCCUAACACAUGCAAGUCGAACGAGAAGUCUUUGAAUAGUUACUAUGAUAAGAUGGAUAGUGGCGAACGGGUGAGUAACGCGUAGAUAACCAACCUCUCUCUGGGGGGAUAGCCCUGGGAAACCGGGAGUAAUACCGCAUAAGACCACACUACCGCAUGGUAGAGUGGUAAAAGUGUUUAGCGGGGAGAGACGGAUCUGCGUCCCAUUAGUUAGUUGGUGAGGUAACGGCACACCAAGACCGCGAUGGGUAGCCGAGCUGAGAGGCUGAUCGGCCACAUUGGGACUGAGACACGGCCCAAACUCCUACGGGAGGCAGCAGUGGGGAAUAUUGUUCAAUGGGGGGAAAAACCCCUGAAACAGCAAUGCCGCGUGAGUGAUGAAGGUCUUAGGAUUGUAAAACUCUGUCUUUGGGGACGAAACAAAUGACGGUACCCAAGGAGGAAGCCCCGGCUAACUACGUGCCAGCCGCAGC